UAACGUCGCAUUAGUCAUAUAAUAAUACGUUGUAGAUAUUAUAAAUUCUUAAGAUACAUAACUUAAACCCUAAAUUAAGAAUAGGUCGUUACAUAUUCUAGUGACCUUGAAUGGUCCUACCCAGGUGCAAUCAAAUUUCGAGGUUUUAGGUUCUUUAAGCUUACUGCUGCUGUAGAUUGAGUUUUUGUAAUUCUGGAGAAUAAAUCAUCCAAAUAACCUAUGAAAGUACGUGGUGGUUCCUGCUUAGAAAAUUCAGAUGGAAUGGUGGCUUUCACGCCAAACACCAGUUCGUGUGGGGUGAACCCAGUGGCUUCAUGUACUGAGGUAUUAUAGGAGAAUAUGCCAAAUCU